rnacentral:rRNA from 1 species
CUACGGGAGGCAGCAGUAGGGAAUCUUCCACAAUGGGCGCAAGCCUGAUGGAGCAACGCCGCGUGUGUGAUGAAGGGUUUCGGCUCGUAAAACACUGUUAUAAGAGAAGAACGGCACUGAGAGUAACUGUUCAGUGUGUGACGGUAUCUUACCAGAAAGGAACGGCUAAAUACGUGCCAGCAGCCGCGGUAAU